rnacentral:rRNA from 1 species
CCACCGAUUGACUAAGGUUUCCAGAGGAAGGCUCGUCCGCUCUGGGUUAGUCGGGUCCUAAGCUGAGGCCGACAGGCGUAGGCGAUGGAUAACAGGUUGAUAUUCCUGUACCACCUAUAAUCGUUUUAAUCGAUGGGGGGACGCAGUAGGAUAGGCGAAGCGUGCGAUUGGAUUGCACGUCUAAGCAGUAAGGCUGAGUAUUAGGCAAAUCCGGUACUCGUUAAGGCUGAGCUGUGAUGGGGAGAAGACAUUGAGUCUUCGAGUCGUUGAUUUCACACUGCCGAGAAAAGCCUCUAGAUAGAAAAUAGGUGCCCGUACCGCAAACCGACACAGGUAGUCAAGAUGAGAAUUCUAAGGUGAGCGAGCGAACUCUCGUUAAGGAACUCGGCAAAAUGACCCCGUAACUUCGGGAGAAGGGGUGCUCUUUAGGGUUAACGCCCAGAAGAGCCGCAGUGAAUAGGCCCAAGCGACUGUUUAUCAAAAACACAGGUCUCUGCUAAACCGUAAGGUGAUGUAUAGGGGCUGACGCCUGCCCGGUGCUGGAAGGUUAAGAGGAGUGGUUAGCUUCUGCGAAGCUACGAAUCGAAGCCCCAGUAAACGGCGGCCGUAACUAUAACGGUCCUAAGGUAGCGAAAUUCCUUGUCGGGUAAGUUCCGACCCGCACGAAAGGCGUAACGAUUUGGGCACUGUCUCAACGAGAGACUCGGUGAAAUCAUAGUACCUGUGAAGAUGCAGGUUACCCGCGACAGGACGGAAAGACCCCGUGGAGCUUUACUGUAGCCUGAUAUUGAAAUUCGGCACAGCUUGUACAGGAUAGGUAGGAGCCUUUGAAACGUGAGCGCUAGCUUACGUGGAGGCGCUGGUGGGAUACUACCCUAGCUGUGUUGGCUUUCUAACCCGCACCACUUAUCGUGGUGGGAGACAGUGUCAGGCGGGCAGUUUGACUGGGGCGGUCGCCUCCUAAAAGGUAACGGAGGCGCUCAAAGGUUCCCUCAGAAUGGUUGGAAAUCAUUCAUAGAGUGUAAAGGCAUAAGGGAGCUUGACUGCGAGACCUACAAGUCGAGCAGGGUCGAAAGACGGACUUAGUGAUCCGGUGGUUCCGCAUGGAAGGGCCAUCGCUCAACGGAUAAAAGCUACCCCGGGGAUAACAGGCUUAUCUCCCCCAAGAGUUCACAUCGACGGGGAGGUUUGGCACCUCGAUGUCGGCUCAUCGCAUCCUGGGGCUGUAGUCGGUCCCAAGGGUUGGGCUGUUCGCCCAUUAAAGCGGUACGCGAGCUGGGUUCAGAACGUCGUGAGACAGUUCGGUCCCUAUCCGUCGUGGGCGUAGGAAAUUUGAGAGGAGCUGUCCUUAGUACGAGAGGACCGGGAUGGACAUACCUCUGGUGUACCAGUUGUCGUGCCAACGGCAUAGCUGGGUAGCUAUGUGUGGACGGGAUAAGUGCUGAAAGCAUCUAAGCAUGAAGCCCCCCUCAAGAUGAGAUUUCCCAACUUCGGUUAUAAGAUCCCUCAAAGAUGAUGAGGUUAAUAGGUUCGAGGUGGAAGCAUGGUGACAUGUGGAGCUGACGAAUACUAAUCGAUCGAAGACUUAAUCAA